rnacentral:rRNA from 1 species
CGGCCCCGUUGGUGUGAACCUCGGGAACUGAGAACAAUACCCCAUAGACCAUCUCUGCUGGAACGCUUGAUGGUCAAAAGUUCCGACGCCCAAGGAUGGGUCUGCGGCCUAUCAGGUCGUAGUCGGUGUAACGGACCGACUAGCCUACGACGGGUACGGGCCUUGAGAGAGGUCGCCCGGAGAUGGACUCUGAGACACCAGUCCAGGCCCUACGGGGCGCAGCAGGAGCGAAAACUUCGCAAUGUGGGCAACCACGACGAGGGGACUCCAAGUGCUCAAGUUUUACUUGGGCUGUUUUCGUGCCUAAAAAGCACGGAGAGUAAGGGCUGGGUAAGACGGGUGCCAGCCGCCGCGGUAAUACCCGCAGCCCGAGUGGUGGUCAUUAUUAUUGGGCCUAAAACGUCCGUAGCCGGCCCGGUAAAUUCUUGGGGAAAUCGGUGCGCUUAACGUAUCGAAGUCCGAGGAGACUGCCGGGCUUGGGACUGGGUGAGGUCAGAGGUACUUCUGGGGUAGGGGUAAAAUCCUGUAAUCCUGGAAGGACCACCAGUGGCGAAGGCGUCUGACUAGAACGGAUCCGACGGUAAGGGACGAAGCCCUGGGGCACAAACGGGAUUAGAUACCCCGGUAGUCCAGGGUGUAAACGCUGUGGGCUUGGUGUUGGGAGUCCUACGAGGGCGCCCAGUGCCGGAGAGAAGUUGUUAAGCCUACUGCCUGGGGAGUACGCUCGCAAGAGUGAAACUUAAAGGAAUUGGCGGGGGAGCAC